ensembl:lncRNA
CGUGCGUCUUCGUUUCCCCGAAAACACGUUACCUGCGCUGAUAGGUGCGGCUGAGAGUCAAACCGGUUCAGCUCACUUCCUCAUAAGUUUGUCGCAGCUUGGAGCCUUUCUUUCUCCGCUUUUUAAACCUUUCACCUGAUUAACUUUUAUAAGGUUAAAGGUUAAAGUGUUUUAUAAACACUUUAACCUCACAUUUUCUUCCCUUACAUUUAUACUUCUAUUACUUUAUACCGUAUGGACGCAUUUUAAUCACGGAAUAGAUACGAUAAGGUAAGGUCUCCAGUCUAAUAUGCAUGAGGAGAUAGAGGAGGGGGGUCCUACCUCUAAGACCACUCUGUCUGGGGAACAUGGCCGCCGGAGCAAAGCUAAGAGCCCAGAGCAGCAGCAGAGAGCAGACUCCCCUGGACCCAGCUGUGUCUCCAUGAAGAGUGACCACUCAAUGGAUCUACCAUGGGACUUUAAAGAUGGACGCCCCUCCAGAGAGGAGAGACACCAGAUGACGUCAAAAGGUUCCAAGUGCUCAGUCUCUACAGCAACAUCAAACAGAGCU